ensembl:lncRNA
GGGGGUUGGGAUGCUACUGUUCCUGGAGUACUGAAGUUUAGCUGUCUGUUAGUGACAGUUGGUCAGCAGUUGGUGGUGGUGAGAAGGAUGUACCCUUCUUCAGGAACUGAUUCCCUGGAUGAUGGCUGCAGAGGCAGAUCUAGACGUAGGGAUGAAUCAGCAUACAAUAGUCAACUUGGUGGAAUUAUAGGGAUAAAGCCAUUUUGGAGAUCUUUUACUGUGGGAGAAGAACUUUGAUUGUGCCUCCUUGAUGGGUGGAACAUCCCUGUGGAGUAAUUGGGUAAGUUAUCAGAGGUGAUUUAAUUAGAUCAGAGGAUUAUAGAUCUAAGACACAUUCUUUGAAGUUAAAAAGGAAGCCAAGCUGAGAUCUGAAGAUCCAGAAGUAACAAGAGGGCAGACCAAAGAUCUGAGAAUGGACUUGGGUCCCAAGAGUGAAGUCUACCCUUCUACAUAUAGAUCCUUCAUGAAACUCAGCCUCCCAAACUACCAGUCCUAGAGAUGGCCGACAUGAAGAUAAAGUAGCAAAGCCUAUAAGCCCAAGAAAUGGCAAUAGAUGGGGAUACAGGUGGAAGGGAUGGAGUGGCAAUAAUUCUGAAACUCUUGGUUCUUGGACAGGCAGUGAUGCAAAUUCUCAACCUUGGGAGAUGGUAACCUUGGAGAGAAAAGCCACUAGGGGAGUUCAUCAUCUAGAGGUAGACCAAGGAAUUAGCUUGUGACCCCAGGUUUGAAGGCAUAGCAAUGGACUGAGUCACAAAAUAGAGAAAUUAAACUUGUACUUUGCCAAGAUAAUUUGAUCAGCCAGUGAAUUCCAGUGGCAAGAGGAAUGCCUCUCAACUUUAAGUGUCUCCCUUUUUAUGGGAAAAGCCCUUUUAAUAAGAGGCCUGUGUAGGUCCCUGAGGUAGAAGAUGGAAUUCACCAGAAUGUAGGGAUUGAUUUUCUAACAAUCCCAAUUCUCUGGUAAUUCAAUUUUUUUCUAGGAGGAAGUCUAAGCCUUUAGUACUAUAAUGCUACAGGAUUAUAUAGGUUCCUGGGAGAAAAAAGUCAGACUCAACAGAAGAGGGGAAAGAAGUAUAUUGAUUAUGUACAACCUACUUGUGAAUCCUUUAUAUUGUUUUUCAUUUUUCAUGGGGCAAAAAAAUGGCUGUGCUAUUUCUGAUAUGCAUUGUUACCUUGAAUGCUUGCAUAGGAGCUAAGGCCUCUCGAAGAGAUCCAAAUAUAAGGUCCCUAAGAACAAAAACAAGCAAAAAAAAUCUUAAAGUAUACAACCUUCUAGAAGGUAAAACUUAACAAAUGAAUAUAGUCUAUGUAUUACCAAAGUUUUUAGGGUUCUGGGCAACAGUUUACAGGGACUAUUUUUUCCCACAUUGAUAACUACAGAGACCUCCAAAUAGUGAAGGAUUAAUUCAGAAAAAAGCACUUAUUUUUCUGCACUGCAGAUCAAAUGUCUACUUUCCUAUAGCUUUCUUUCCUUCUUCACAUUCCUGGUGAUGGGCAUUUUAAAGGUUUCUCCAGCUUGGAUUCUCUUUUUUGGAACUCAUUUAUUUUGUAUUCCAACUCCUAUAAGAUAUAAGGACUUUCAUUUGUUUGUCCUUUAUGGUGACCUAGACAAACUUGGUUUCACAUGAAACCAAAACCCCAGUUUACUCUCUUGGAACUCAGGCUGUGGGUCUACUUUACCUUCUCAAUUUUCUUGCUGUUGCUGUAUUACCCCAUUCCAAUGAUAGCCUCAUAUCCUGGGCUUGUUUUACUAGAUUCCUAGAGGCUUCACUAAAUCCCAAGAGAUGAACCAUUCUUGGCUAAAGUCUCUCUCCAGCCCAAUCAACCCCACCCAAUUAGCCUCAUUAAUUAUAUUCUAAAAUCAUCCUGGUCACCAAACCAGUAAAUUUGAAACUUCUUUUCUCUCUCUUAAUCUUUCUUUACCACCCUGGUUGUAAAGAAAGAUUAAGGGAGAGAACAGAAGUUUCAAAUCUGAACAGAAGUUAGGAUCUGUCCUAACACAUUACUAAUUGCCAUCUUUUACUUCUAUCAGUGAAUUUUCUUAGCUGGCAUCUGAUUUUCCUUUUUUUACCUAUUACUUCAGAACCCAAAUGGGAUUUUUUUUAGGGCUUAUUUACAUGGUGUGUGUGUGUGUGUGUGUGUGUGUGUGUGUGUGUGUGUGUGUGUAUUCAGAUAUUAGAGAAUAAAGUUGUCCUAGUGGGCAAGGAAUGAGGUUUUUUGUCCUGUUCUCAAUAACUAGUACACAGUAGAUAUUUAAUAAAUGUUUGUGGAAUUGAAUUGUUUAAAAAGUCACCCAGUCUUAUCUUUCCUAUUCUCUAGACCAAGAGGAUGCAACUCUUUUGAGGCUGUAGAAAAGAUAAUAUUUUUGAAUCUGAACACAACUCUAAUCAGGUUUGGAAGUGGCAUCCCUGUGAUUAUACUCUACAUAUUCUAGGCUCCCUUAAGCUCAAUCUUGAAAAGCCUUCCCUCUUCAUCUCUCUGUCUUGACUUCUCUAUUGGGCACUGGAUUUUGUGCCAUAUAUAAAUUCUUAUACCUUUAUCAUAUUUUUAAUUCUGUGGUUUUAAAGCAUGGCUAUUAUUAUGAGGAAACUUAGGAAAUUUGUAAUUCUCAGAGAACAUAGUUCAGUGACUAUUAGACAGGUUGCUGGAGUUUUAUAAGUAUGAGGAAGCCAGGCAUUCAUGGAUCAUCAAGCCCAUAAUCAAAUGGGAUCAGUUAUACCCAAGUACAAAGGAAAAAGUGGUCAAAGAUGAAAAAUGAGAGCAAGAAUUGACAAAACUAUUGCUGUAAACAGCCAUAUUAACUCUCCAAAAAACAAAUAAUACCUCUCCAAAAUAAAGAAACCUAACCUACUAGCAAAGACUCUCAGGGACCUGGCAACUAGAGGGCUUGUUUCUGCACUUAUUAAGGACCUAUUAUAUGCCAAGUGCUUUAUGUGCAUUAUUUCAUUUGAUCCUCACCAUAACUCUGAGAGGUAGAUGCUAUUAUUUGUUUUACAGUUGAGGAAACUUAACUUUUUUUGGUUAAAAAAAUGGACUUGUUAGGUGAUCUGCUGAAAUGCCAUAACUUAAUAGGUAUCUUAUAUGGUUAGAUUUGAACUUCUAAUUCCAGACUCAAUGCUCUCUCUACUGUGUCAUCUACCUGAAUAUACUUUAAUGGCCCAAGAACUUACCUAAUUUAAGACCCAUUGAAAACUUAUGGGUCAUAAUCAAGAAUGGAUUAUCCUCAAAGGCAACUAUAGUGUGAUUAAAAACAUGACAAAUAUUUUAAACCCAAUGCUGAAUCAUGGCAAAUAUGUGAUCACAGCACAAGAGGACAUUCAUUGCUUGUUGAAAGUUUUUUAAAGAUGUAAAAAGUUGUAGGUUUUGUCAUAUGUCCAUGAAUCUAAUUAUUUUGCUUUGUCCAUAAGUACAUAAGUAAUAUACAUAAACAUUAAACGCUGCUACACGACAAACAUCAUGGUGAGUAUUAUCCCAUUUGAGCAUCAGAAUAUAGACAUUAUGAUGCUCAUUUUUGACAUGUUCAAACUAAGACUAAGUAACUCAAACUGGCCUCACAGUUAAAGGAGCCUAUGCAUUUGCACAUUUGUCUUCCUACCCCUUUAAAUCAAUUCCAGCUGCCUGGAGGCAGAGACUGUGGUAUUCACCUGAGUUUGUCCACAGCUUUCUUAGAAUAGGGUAAAAACUAGAGCUCCUGGUUGGGGAUUUUCUCAGGACAAUAGAAAUACAUGUCCCAUGAGAAGGGUUCAUGUACAAUGCUCUUGGACCCUAAUGUCCUGUAGAGGUGGAGGUGGAGGGAGGGAAGUGGUGGGAAGGGCAGAGAUUUCAGUACCACGGACAACUCAGAAUCUAAUAGCUUUCUACCCUAAAAAGAGAUUGGCAGUCACAACCUUGGGGGUUAUCUCAUGAAUAAUACCAAGUAUGAGAGUUCAUGCAUCAGACAAACCAUCUAAGGAAAGAUAAAUUGAUUGUCCACACAAUUUGGAAGCAGCAUUCUGUUUUGAAGAAUAAACAUUAGCCACAUGCCUUCAUGAGGAAAGGGGCAAGAGUUCUGCACUUUCACCACUUCAUUAUUACAAUAAAUUAAGACAAUACAUGUCGAAUGGAAAGGGAUAAUUAAUAAUUAAACAGUUCCAAAAAAGUGUUUCCCUCCAGUCUUCAACUGUAAAAUUGAGAUCAUAAUACAAUAGCACCUACUUUUAGGAUUGUUAUGAGGAUCAAAUGAUACAUUUAUUAAAAUAUUUAGCACAGUGCUGGGUACAUAGGUUGGCUCUUAAUAAUUGCUUAUUCCUGUCCCUCUUCCUCCUCUCCAUUAAAUAUCUAUUAUAUGCCAGGCACUGGGAAAACAAAGACAAAAGUAAAUAGACUUUGGUCUCAAGGAGUUUACUGUCUAGUGCAGGAGUUUUUAAUCAUUUUUCCUAUGUCAUGGCCCUUUUUGGCAUUUUAGUGAAAACUAAUUAACCUUUCUCAGAAUAAUGUUUUUUAAAUAAUUGAAGGAAAUGCUAAAUUUAUGUCAUAAGUUAGAGAACAUACAUAACUUUUUUCCCAUCAAAAUUAACAGACCCCUUGAAAGUUAUCUUUGGACCUCUUUGGAGGUCUGUAGGACCUCAUGUUAAGAAACCCUGAUUUAGGGAGAGACUAUACAUAUAUAAGUACAAAACGUAAAAAAGAUAAAAGGUGAUUUAGAGGGAUGAGAUGACACUAGCCAUGGGGUGAUUAGUGAAAACCUCAUUUAGAAAGUGAAUCUUGAGCUAAGCUUUGAAGGAAAUCUAAUAUUCUGAAAAGUGGAAGGAGGAAGUACAUUAUAGGCACAAGGGAUAGUCAAUAUAAGACAUAAAGGCAGAAAGAGUGCUGUGAAUGAGGAAGAGCAAAAAGGCCAGUUGGGCUGAAUCUCAGAUAUAUUCCAGAGGAAGGAAAAAACUUCUUUUUUUAGUAAAACUGAAAAUAGUAAGAAAUGUUUUCCUUUAAAGAGAUAUCUAGAUGGUACAGUGACUAGCAUAGAUAGCCUCUAGUGGCCUGGAGUUGGAAAUGUUAUUUUAGUCCAGUUCAACUCUUUAUGAUGUCAUUUGGGGUUUUUUUUUUGGCAAAAAUACUGGAGCAGCUAUUUAUUUCCUUAUCCAGCUUAUGUUAUAGAUGAAAAACCUGAGGCAAACAGAUGAAGUGACUAUCUGUGUGACCCUGGGAAAGUCAUUUAACCUUUCACUGCCUUAGUUUUUUCAUUUAUGAAAUGGCAAUAUUAAUGGCACUUAUCUUGCAAGGUUAUUGUGGGGAUAAAAUAUUAGUAAAAGGUUUAAAAAUCCAAGCGCCAUAUAAAUGCUAGCUCUUGUAACUAUUUCCCAAUUCCUGGAGAAAGCCCUGUGAAAAGGUGGGUAAUAGAAAACAAAAAGGGUUUUCUUAGAGAAUUAAAGAUGCUAACCAACAAAAAAUAAUUCUUCUUUAUAUCAUUGUUCCCCUACCCCUAAAACAAUUGAUAGUAGGUUUCAGCCAAAUGAAGUAGGCAAGUGAGGUAGUGAAAAAGAGGCACCUUUGCCACCACAUAGUCAGAAAAGAUGCACGCUAUAAUCUCCCAUUAGUCACUUCUCAGGAAUAGUCCAGAUAGAAAUGGAAUAGUAAAAUGUAACAAUUCUGGAAUAUUACCCCAAACUGUAUUUUUACUUAUUGUGAUCUCUACCUUAUUCAAAAUUCCCAUAAUUGUUGUCCGAAAUCUUGGGGUGGAGAGUAAUGUUGGAAGGCAUGGGAAACUAAGGUAGUUUGGACAUUUCUUGUUUCUUUCCAAGCUACAAAUGGUUAGAAAUUAGAGUAAUAUUUUUUUUUUUGCAAAUGAGUCUAAAUUCAAGGUACUAUAUAUAUUUUUUCUUUAAUAUUUAAAAUUUGCACUGGACAAUUACUAUAAUUCCGAAACCUGAUAGAAAGUCAGCAAGAGAUCUUUGCCACUUCUAUUUGAAGGACUAAAUAGAAGUGGAAGGCCCUUUUUAAACCUUUAUAGGAAGCUUUUCACUAUAGAAAUGUCCCUAAUCUUGCCUCUAGCCCUUGAUUAGGCACAUAGAAUUUGACCAUUUGAGAGGAAGGCCGAGUCUAUCCAUUACAGAAAAAAAUUAUUUGUCCAUGUCUGUUCUGAUGAACAUGAACAUGUCUAUGUUGUGUUAUAUGUUGUGUAUGGUAAACUUUGUGUUAGGAUAAAUCCUUUAUUUAGCAACUCUAAAUCACUUUUCUAUUCUUAUAACUAAGCCAAUUUCAACCACAUCUGACUGCCCAAUCAGGAAAAGUACUAAUCCCAUGAUCCUAGAUGACAGGUAAAUUAUUCUUACUUCCUUCUUGAUUCUGAACAGCAGUUUACUGGAGACUGGUAGUCCUUCCAUAAGCUUAACUGCUCCCAGAUUCUCUGGGAAUUUCACAAAGUACUCUGUUAAAGGAACUACAAACUGGCAAAAUAAAAAAGUGGUAAAUUAGGUAUUUUUCAUUCUUAUGAUUCAUUUUGGAAUCUAUUCCUAAGUUCUGUGUUUAAGAUAUAAAGACCUAAAGAGUGGUUAUCUUAAAAUUAAUAGGACCCCUAUAGAAAAAAGUUCUUUUUGGUCAUUUUGGCGUGCUUGACCAAAAUUGGUUAUUGAAUCCUCCUAGCUGAAAGUAAAUUGUCCCUCACAAUCAGGAUUGAUGAUCCUCUGUAACAGGAAAUGUAAUUAGAGAUGCCUGUGAAGAGAGAAAACAACAAAGACAAGAUUCCAUUUUUUUAAGGUAGAGCUGGCUUUAGGCUCCUAUUGGUAAAUGAACUCUUCAGGAGAGGUCUUCCAUUAUGGAGCCAACAUUAGUACUGGGUGUCCAACGUGGGAAAAGUUGGGGAAACCUCUAAGAAACAGAACAUACAAAAAUGUCCUUGUCCCCAGAAAAGCUAGCAUUUAUAUCUCACCCACUAGAGAAAUAAAACAUGUCAAUUCCUGGCCAAAAUUAUUUGUCUAAAGUUGCUUUUAAAGGAUCUUUGUUUAAUCUAAUUUAAGGGUUCACUCUGUAAACUUUUGGUUAUGUAAAAUGAAUGUUAGCAAAAGAAAUAUUUCACAUAUUUUCUUUAAGUCUGUGGUAAUAUUUGUUUAGUAAAAAGGUCAUUAAAAAGAUGGUCAGUCUUUAAACAGACCUAAAACCAAUUAAAAAAUUUUCUCUCCAGUAAACUUCAAAAAAGAAAGAGAAAAGUUGCUUUUGUUUGUUUCAAAACAUGGGUACUCAAGAAAAACCUAGCAAGUAUUCUUUUAAAUUUUAUUUUACUUAAAUCAUCUUGUAAUAGGCAAAUUAUUUGAAAGAAAAAGAGAGAAUUUUCAUUUUAAAGGUUUGGUUUGCCUGAUUAUUGCGAAUCUGGAUGAUAUGGCAGAAAAUUAUUGUUUUGUAAAUUAGAAGCAAAAUUAUUCAAAAGGAACUACACCAUAAUCAUUUAUUUUGUAAGUUCCUAAGAAACCAAAUUGUGUUUUCCAUGGCCAAAUGAGAAACUGCCUCUAAAUCUAGAAGUUUCAGCUCUGAUCACCUAAAAACAAAGCUUUGAAAUAGAUUUGAGAAAUAUAAGAAAAUUGAGCAAAUUUGCAAAGGAGAGACUCGAGGAAACUGAACUUGAAAAAAAUUGGAAACAAUUUGAAAGCAAAUAAGAAUAAGAUUAAAAAAUAUAUCAUCCUUAGAGACAAUCAAUAUAUAAAGAGUGAUUUGGAAAGCUCUAUGGAUAAAUCAGUAAAUAAAAUAGGAAUUAUAGUCAACACAAACAGUGUGUAAACUUCAAGUUCAGUUAAAAGACAAUGAAAAACUGUAUAAAAGUGCUGUUAAAAGUUAAAAGAAAAAUCUAAAAAUAAAACUCUGCUUGCAGAAGUACUCAUUUCAAAUCCAGAUGAGUGGCUUCUGUUCCUGAUUCCCCAAAAGGCUGAGAAUCUCUAGCCAGAAGCAAGGUGUAUCUUAGGGUAUGAGGUGAAAGGGGAAGAGGGAAAGACAAAGACAAAAGAAAAGGCCAGAAUUUUGGAAAGCAUUACAUAGAAUUUAAGGAAGUUUUUUAAUCUUCAUUGAAAUAAGAGAACAAAAAAGCAAGAUUGCCAUGCUUAUAAAGCUUAUAAAGUUCUGAACUCAACUUGGAGAAAUGCUUAUUUCACCCUUGGGAAGAUGGAGUUAGUAUUGAGAUAGUUGAUUUCCAGAUAAUUUAUGUUCCUGUGCUUGUGGAAAAGUAUCUGGAACCAUGUAGCAGGUUUAAAAAAAAUUAAUCGGUUUUAAGGUUUAAAUUUAUAUUAGGUCUGAUAAAUCGAAAGGAAUGUUCAAUUACUGUUCACAGCAUUUUAAUCUGUGCUCUGAAUGGCAAAUAUUAGUGCUACAUCUUUGUGGCUGUGUGAGUAAAAGUGAUCACUAUUGAUAGAUUAAAAGGAAGAAGUAGGACCAAACUUUCCCCAACUACACAGUAUAGAUUUAGAAAAUGUGCCACACUGAGUCCUAUUUGGAAAAUUAAAGAAAAAAAUUAUAAGUAAUUUUUUCAAUCCACUUUGGCAAAGGAAAGAUUAUCUGAACAGGGCCUGCUGUGUACCAAAGCAAGAAGAGGUCACAGAUCUGGCAGAGAGGGGACUGAAUUUGUCCAGGAAGUAGCACCUGAUGCCAAGUGAUAGUUUUGUAAUUUACUCUCUUGUGUUGGGCCACAGAUCUAAUGCAGACUGAGGAGGAUCACCUAAAAGACAGCCAUCCAAGAAUGGCAUUCCAAGGCAAAGACUUGUCAAAAACUAUGUCCCGAGAGGAAGUAGUACAAAAGAAAACAGUAGUUGUGAAGCCUUGACCCAGGAAGUAGAUUGUAGCCUCAAAUUUAGUCUUCUGACAGUCUUAAAAAUCUGUAAUAGAACCAGAACAGGAAUCCUAGGCUGGGGGAGAAGGGAGUGUUCUAUAGUGCUUUUACCUUGAAAUUGGAUAAUUUUCCAGGUGUCUGACAUGACUGAAUUUAGCAGUAAUCUACUGAAGUUCCAACCAGAGGCAAGCCAAAGGUUCUACUGUUAAGAUCUAAACCCAGGUCAAAUAUUGCAAAGCUCAGACCAGGAAAAUAGCAUGCUCUGCUCUAAACCUAAUUACAUUAGGAACACUGAUAUCUUGAAGAUUCCCAAGCUGAGAUGUCCCUGAUAUCCUGGUAUAUAGCUUAAUUACCAAAAAGCAGCAGGAUCAAGAAACACAACAGAACCAAAUACUGUUCAUCCAUAUCCAUCAGAAGUAUACAGAAUUUAAUCCUAACAUGAAAUCUGAAGUCAAGAAAUAGCCUGGAAGAAUGAGCAAAUAACUCCCGCCCAAAGCAGAAAUCUAUCAUAAAAAGCUAUUAUGGUGAUAGAGUGGCCAAAGACAUAAACCCAGAAGAGAAUGUCCUCCCAAAAAAUUUACAAAGCAAGCCUGAAAGAAAAACACAGCUUCGGCAUAAGUUCAACUAUGUAAUUUAUGGAAGAAACAAGGCAAAAAUUUUUUUCAGAGUUAAAGUAAAAUAAGAGCACUAGAGAAAACUGUUGGAAAAGAAAUGAAAGUGCUAGAGGAGGAAAUUGGGGGGUGGGGAAGAGAGUUAUGGAAGAAUAAAUUGGAAAUAGAAUGUAACAAUGAUAUACAAUCUUACCAAGCACCAGACAUCUUGAAAGCUUGAUUGGACUACAUGUUAAUCUCUCCCCAAGACAAGAAGAAAUAUUAAAGCAAAGUCAAGACUAAAAUCAUAAAAAAAAAAGCUUCUAUAAAAGUAACGACAUGGAAAUCGGAUCAAGACAUAAUUUAAGCAUUCAACUUUUCUGAAAAUCAUGAUUUAAAAAAUGAGCCAAGGCAAUAUAUUUUAAGAAAGCAUAAAAAGAAAACUAUCCAGAUUUUAGGGCAAAAUUAAAAAAUUUAAAAAAUACUCAGGAACAUUCUAAUAGUCAAAGAAUACAAAUUGCCAAAAAGAAUUCAAAUAUAGAAGUCAGCCAGAAUCACACAAGAUUUGACAGCAAUCACUAUAAAGAAGUAGAAAGCUUGGAAUAUGUUUCAUACUCUGAAAAGAUGUAGGCUUACAACCAAGACUAACUCAGAAAACCUGAGCAUAAUCUCACUGCAUUGGACCUUUAAUUGAAAUAGAGAAUUUACAAGUGUUCUGGUGAAAAGCCAAGAGCUAUGUGGAAACUUUAAAAUACUAACGUAGACUUCUGUUCAGAGAAACAUGAGAUCAAUAUGAGGGAACAGUAAUAAGGGACUAAACAAGGAUGAAUUGUUUGCAUUCUAACAUGAGUUGAUUGUGUCCUCUCAAAACCCCUACAAUCAUCAAGGGUCAUAGAAAAUUGAAAAUGAGUUUUGAUCUUGAAGAAAGGAAAGGGAGAGAAAGGUGUAUGUACUGACUGGGGGAAGAAGUGUAGGAAAAAUUAUACAUAAUCUGGGUACAGAAGUAACACUACAUAAACAGGAAAGGGACAGGGAAUAGAUGACUCUCGCCCCUCUCCGCUGAACUAGUCAAAGGAGGGAAGAAGUCAUACACACAGGAGGGAAGAAUUCACACACACACAAACACAUGCACAGAAGUUGGAUGCAGAAAUUUCACACUACAUGAAAAGGGGAAAAGGAGAGGGGAGAAUAAAUGGGGAAAGUAAAGGAGGAAUUGAAUAUUAAAGGAGUUUGAGGCUCUGGACUGAGAGAAGAGGGACAGGAGAGCCAAAGCAGAUUGCAUCAAACCUAGAGUACUGGUGCUGAGCACAGUCCUCUAUCAUCACCCCUCUUCUAAGUAGAAGGCAUAAAACUUAACAAAAGCAACUCAACCUCUGACAGAGGUGAUAGAAUCUGAGACAUGGAGACAUUGAGAAGUUUUUGGAAGAUGGUGGGGCAUAGAGAAUUUCUUUGCUUGACUGUGCAUUUUUAUAAAGGUUUUGUUUUUUUCAAUGGCAGUAGUGUGGAAGAAGGGAGAAGUGUAUUUUCACAAUAUUUUAAAUUAAAUUUUAAUUGAAAAAAAUUUUUUAAAAGGGUUUAAAUAAAAUUCAGUUAAACUUAGAAGAGAAAUUGGGAAAAUUUUGCAGAAGGUUUCUUUGAUAAAGAUCCUAUUUUCAAGACAGAGUACUAAUAAAAAUAUAAUAUUCCCUAAUUGGUGGUCAGAGGAUAUGAAUAAACAAUUUUUGCAAGAUCUAAUAGCCACAUGAAAAAAUACUCCCAAAGCACUAUUAGAGAAACACAAAUUAAAGUAAUCCUGAGGUUCCCCCUUACACUGACAAAAAUUGACUAUAUAUUUGUUGAAAGGGCUAUAGGAAAAACAAGCAUUUUAUUGUAUUGUUGGCAAAGCUAUGAACAAUCCAGUAAUUUUGGAAAACAACCAAGAGUUACUAAGUUGUUGAGGAGGAAAAUGAUUCAUAUAUACAAAAAUUAUCAACUCUUUUUGUAAUGAGGAAAAUAACAUCAGGAAACUAAAGGAGUAAUCAAUUAGGGAAAAGCUGAAUAAAUUAAUAUGAAAUGAAACUUCAUUGUGCCAUAAGAAUUGACAAAGGGGAUGGUUUUUAGACAACCCUGGGAAGACUUGUAUGAACUGAUGCAGAGUGAAGUGAGAAAAACCAGAAAAACAAUUUAUAUAAUAGUGUAAAGAUAAAAAACUGUGAAAGACUUAAAAACUCUGAUCAAUACAAUGACCAACCACACAAUUCCAGAAGACUAAUGAAGAAUGUUAUUCAUUUCCAACAGAUAGGAGAUUGACCUAAAGGGCAGAAUGAGGUAUAUAUUUUACUUGACCAAUGUGGGAAUUUGCUUUUUUUGGUCAUACAUUUCCUAUAAAGGGUUUGUUUUUCUUUUUUCUAUGGAAAGUGGGAGAGGGAGGGGGGAAAGAGAAAAAAAAUUGUUAAAUCUGAGAAAAACUAAAAAAAAAAAAAAAAAAAAUCACAACUCUACACUGGUUCCUGAGUGCAAUCAACAUAAAAUGCCCAAAUUAGUAGAUUUUUCCCAUGUGUGUUUAGAGAUGCAUUCUACCAGGUUAAUUAUAUUAUCAAGACAUGUUUUGUAUUUAUCUUUUGAGUUCACCAGAUUGUUUUAUGUUAGUGUGUUUUCUGUUAGUGUCAUUUUUAUAAGUACAUUACAAUGUGAUUUUGGAAAUUAUUACAAAAAGGUGCUGUUGAUUUUGUAAUGGUAACUACUAUGAUUCACUUGAAACUUUAGGAGGACAGAUCCUCCUUGAUCAAAAUACUAUGAAUUAGAACCAAUACAAUCAAGGCUCUUAAUUGAAUUAUGACUAUAUGUAUCCUAUGUGUUUUUUUAAAUGUCCUUUUGAAUUUGGUAAAUAAUAGACUUUGAGAAGAUGAAAAUGCUAUCCGACAACAUAGCUUGAAGUAAAAUGGAAAGAAUUGAUAAUAUUUAGAAGUAAUUUCAACAUGAAAUGGACUGCUUAUAUUGUACUUAAGGAUAAAUUUGGUAAAUUGUUCUUUAGAAAUUCAAAUAUCUUCCUAUAGCCUGUUCAAAUUACCCUAUUUUUAAGAUAGUUAAACUUGUAUUAGUGUGCAUUUAUGACUCUGAGAAUAGUCUCACUGAUACAGACUAUUUCCAUUGCUUGAAAUACCGAGUUAACAUAUCUCCUUGAAUGUAAUCCUUGAAUGCUGUGUUUAAGUCCAUGAAAUAGUUUUGUGUUCAUGUUGAUGUUUAUAAGUUUGGAAAAUAUAGAAGUGUUGUUGAUUUUGUAAUGAUAUUGUAAUUCAUUUGUAACAUUAUGAGAUGAUGUCCUUGAUCAGAAUGCUAUGAUUGAUUUAUGAAUUAACAUCAUUUUAAAUCAAUUUAAAUCAAAUCAAAUCAAUUUAAUUUAAACAAAUCAAUUUUAAAUUAAAAAAUUUUAAAUCAUUUUAAAAUUUAUUUAGCAACCAUUUUUCCUGGAGAACUGAGUCAGGAAAAUCAAAAAAGGAAAAUGGAAAAUUCAGCCUAGAGACUAAGUUUGAAAAAUCUACAUAAUGUUUAUGUUUAAAAGUGCAAUCCAAGGCUGUUCUGUGAAUGGCUAAUCAAUUUAGGAAAAGGAGAUCUAGGAUGAGGUCUACUCUAUAUUCAAGAUCUUUUUCCGACCUCAUACAGAACAAUUAAGACUUAACAUUCUUCUUUAGCCUAUCCAUAAGAUCUUGCUCUUUUCUAAGAUUUGUUUUGUCUAAAAACAAUCAUCUCCCUUUAAUGCCAGAGAUGAUGCAUAAGAGCAAAGAGAGAAGUUUAUGUUAACUGGGAUUAUUUGAUAUUAUUGUGCAGCACAAAUUUUCUUUAAAAUGUUAUCUGUUAUGGAGAUAAUAUUAGGAAACAAGAUCAAAACAGAAAGGCUUAGGACACUGAGCUUGGAGACCUUAUUUAUAGACAUUUAUUGUCUGUGUGAGUCUGAGCAAAUCACUUUAAUCUUUCAGGCUCAGUUUCCUUAUCUAUAAAAAGCAGAUAAUAGCAUCUGUUUCCUAGAAAUAGUGUGAAGAUCAAAUGAAAUUAGAUACAUAUAAAGUAUUUUGUAAAUGUGAAAGUAACCAUGUGAAUAUUAGUUAUCAAUUCAAAGAAAGAAUAUGUGAUGGAUCUUUUACUUUUAUCAUUUAAAUUGGUUCUCUUCUAAGUGCCAUAAUGAUGAAUGUAUGAUUGUUAUUGUACUUGAUUGUUAUUGUAUUGAUUUUAGAAUAAAUUGAAGCUUAUCUUACAUUGGGCCUGGAGUCAGGAAGAUCUGGGGGUAAACCUGUCCUUAAGACACUUAUUAGCUAUGUGACACUGGGCAAGUCAUUUAACUUCUGUUUGCCUCAGUUUUCUCAACUGUAAAAUAGGAUAAUUAAUAAUAGCACCUGCUUCACAGGGUUAUUGUGAGGAUCAAAUGAGAUAUUUGUAAAGUGCUAACUAAGUAUAAUGUCUGGCAUAUAGUGGGAAAUAUUUGUUUCCUUUUCUUCCCUUUCCCCUUACUACUAAAGAAGUCGCCAAAGGAAAUUCUGAAAGACUUCUGGAACUAUAUUACUGUUAACCAACAAAUGGCUGCUAAAAGCCAGAUUCUUCAAAAAAGAGAUUGCAUAUUCAAUAGUAAAUGAACUUACGCUCCUAUGGAAUUGAAAGUGAACGGAUAGAGCGAUUGUACCUAUCCAGCAUCUAGAAAAAAUGCUCCACUCCAGAACAAAGAGACUAAAUCUUGUGAUAGUAUGUCUACCAGCUACCAAGACCAUGCAUUAAUUCCUAUUGGACGCCUUUUUGGAAAGAACUGGGAAAGGUUCACUUGGGAAUGUGAAAUAUAUUAUGUAGAGGAACCAACUGAAAUUAUUACCUUUAUUUGACACUUUCUAUGUUGGUGGACAGAAAUGUACCCUUCAAGAAGAUAACUCUGCAUCCCAGAAUAACAAAAGUAUGUGUAAUUGCUUAAUUUCUUAUUUACAGAUUGGAACCAUUGGUGUCCAUGCUUUUCUUUAUAAUGUCACUGUAUUUUGUAAGAAAAUAGAGCCUAUUACUGGUGAUUUGAGUAAUAUGAGAUCAAAAAAGCUAUCUCAUUAUAAUAGGAUUUUAUGGGAAAGAGGGUAAAUGGUUAUACACAUGCUAUACUAUAGAUUUUAAGAUGACCUUUUACCAAUAUGUUACAUCCCAGUUUUCUGAGACAAUUUGACUAGACCUGACUAGACUGGUACCAGAUAAGGGAGAUUUAAUUGCACACUUUUGUGUUAAGAACUAAACACUGGAAUGUAUGUAAAGGCUUAGAAACAACUAGCUGGUAUAGUUAGAAAAGCUACUGUCCUUAUGACAGGAAACUAUUGAAUCAACUACAAGUCUGAGAGAGGUCCACAUCGGUUCUGCAUAUGGUAACAUUAUGAUAACUCUUCUCCUGAAGGAGCUGAGACAUUCCAGUGAGAAUCAAUGCUUUGAGGCCCAGAAUUUCUUGAAUUACCAGCUGUGAGUUAUACAUGAUGACCUCACUCAUCAAUGUUGGCCCGACAGCUCACGGAAUCAAGAAUUCUUUAUGACCUGUGUCCGUGGAGUUAUGCCUAGAGGUUCUCAACUUGGAAGAGCAGCCACCUACAAUGUACCUUCUAUACUUAAUGGCCCCAUUGGGGAGGUCUGGGUCUUGACUCAGGUACAGUAGGAAGGGACAUAUGGGAUUGAGCAGUCCAUAGUGAUAUGUGAGACUUCAAAUUCCCAGGGGAGACAAGUUGAUUCAUAAGUUCUCCUGUAAUGAUGACAAAUUUUUGGCUUGGAAUAAGCUAUCAACAAAUUUUCUAAUCUUUACAACCAUCCAGUUGCAAUGUGUGCAAAACUUUGAAAGGAUGAAGUACUUGAUAAAAUUUUUAUAUGGAACACAAUUUUUUAUGUGUUUUGUUGAACAGAUAAUAGCAAGUAUACUCUCUAGGUGAGCAUUAAAACUAUAUCUACAUAUAUAUAUUGAGGUAAUAGAAUUUGGAAACCUUUGAAAUGUAAAAAAUUGUUCUGACAAUGUUCUGCUUGCUCCAAGUAUAUGAAAGUUAUUUUCAUAUGGUGUGUUAUUUUACUAUGUGCUUUUCAUUGAAUAUGGUUCAUGUGUUUUGCUUUGUGAUAAGGAUAAAAUUUAAUAACUCUUGUAUGAGGAUUUAAUCUUUAUUCAUUUUAUUUAAAUGGUGAAAAAAUAGGUCUAAGUGUCUGUAUGGUAUAAAAUGGCA